AUGUACAGGCCGACGACAUCCAUCGGCCUUACCGGCGGAGGCGAGAAGAAGCUUCCGGUGCUUGUCUACUUCCACGGCGGCGGCUUCUGCAUCGCCAGUUUCGAGCACCCCAGCUUCCAUGCCGUGGCCCUUUGGAUCGCCCACGACCUCCCGGCCAUCGUGCUCUCCGCGGACUACCGCCUCACCCCCGAGCAACGCCUCCCCGCGGCCCACCAUGACGGGGAGACCGUCCUCUCGUGGUUACACCGCCACACUGUGUCCGGCUCCGUUGCCGACGCGUGGCUCGCCGAGUCAGCUGACUUCGACCGAGUGUUCGUCUGGGGCGACUCGUCCGGUGGCAACAUCUCUCACCACAUCACCGUCCGGUACGGCUCCGGCAGCCUCGAUAUAAACCCGGUGCGUAUCGCCGGGUGUGUCCUGCUCAGUCCAUACUUCGGCGGGGAGGAGAGGAUGGCGUCGGAGGCGUGUUCGCCUGCCGACGUGCUCAUGAGCCUUGCGCUGUUCGACCAGAUGUGGCGGCUAGCGCUGCCGGUGGGGGCGACGAGAGACCACCCGGCGGCGAACCCGUUUGGCCCCGAGAGCGCGUCGCUCGAUGACGUCGCGUUCCCACCGGUGCUCGUCCUAAACGCCGAGCAUGACCUGCUGCGUGACCGGACCGCGGACUACGUCGCGAGGCUGAAGGCCAUGGGGAAACCCGUGGAGCUGGUGGAGUUCGAUGGGCAGGAGCACGCGUUCUUCGUCUACGAGCCAUGGGGCGCUGCGGCGGACGAGCUGAUCCGAGUGGUGCGGAGGUUCGUGCACGGCGGCGCGCCGGACACGGCGGCUGCCUUGUCUGGAAGUCCGGAAUUACUCCCUCCCUAA
rnacentral:rRNA from 1 species